GUUCUGCAGCAUGGGUGACAAAGUGAGACUUCGUCUCAAGUAAAUAAAACUAAAAUUUUUAAAUCAAACAUGACAAAAAUGUUAAUAUAAUUCAGAAGUACCUUGAAAUUGAAACAUAUUUGUGCAAUGAUCAUUAGGCUUUUUGUCCUUGUUGUUUUAAAAUGAGGCUUAUACAGAGUGAGUUGAGAGUCAAGUAGCCUUCGCUGUGAGACGGUAAUGCAGUUAUAUAAUAGAUACCCUUGACUUUGCCAGAUUCAUCACAAUACUGCUUAUACAGGAAAGUUUUCUCAGAAAGGAAAAUCCAUUAGUAUCAGUCCCAUCAAGCCAAACAGAAUGAAGACCUUUGAUAGUAAUAGCAAGAGGUUACAAAUAGCAGGGAGGAGGCGAGUAGUGAAUGUCACUGUGAUUGCAAACCCUUACCUGUAUUAUCACACGUAGUCCUCACAACAACCUUGUGAGACAAGUGUUGUGUUCCUCAUUUUUUCAGAGGGGAACACAGACCCAGAGAGGUUAAGAAAUUUGCCCAAGAUAACAAGUAAAAGGCAAAGUUGGUUGCAAAAGAGGUGUUUCUGAAUUCAAGGGCCAUACUCUCUCUCUGACAACAUGCUCUAAGUCCAUAGAGUAAGCACUCUAGUAUGAAAAAAAGUUUCAAGGAACGAGGCCAUGAAAAUGAGACUAUUUGACAUCUCAGAUCUGUCUGGGAUGUUAUGGAGGUUUUUAAAAAUAAAGUUGAAAAAAGAAAAUGAAUCAUGUUUAUACAUAAAAAAAUCACAUGUAACACAUUUCAAGUGUUUGAAAAUAAAACCAAAAUCUAAACUUUAGUCUUCAAGCAGACAUUCAGUGUUACUUUAGAAAACUCACUGAAUUAGGUGGAAAUGAUGGAAUAAUACUAUUCAUGGCCAGCUAUUAACACAGAAGAACAUGGCAGUGUGUGUCUGGAACGGCAUGCACAAUUUGUAAACCUUUUUCAAAUAUCAUUUAAUCAACUCAGAAUAAAGUGCCCUGUAGCCAACAGUGCCUCUUUACUUGCUUCUCUGGGAAAUACAUGGUACUAAAUUAGUAGCACAAAGUUUGGGAAUAUGCAAAAUAAUGGAUAACCAUUUUUCAAAAUGUACAUUCUCUGAAGAGGAAGCAGCUGGUUGGACAGGAUUUCUUGAAGAGCCAGGUGCUAAGGGCAUCAGGUCGACAUCCAUAGUAACCAUGUGCCAUAACAUCUACACAUUUCCACUUGUUUUACAGACAAGGUAACAGGCAGAAGGAAAAUCCAGAGUCUUGCAGUAAGCAGAUGACAAAACUUCAAUAUGCUUGGGCACCACUUAGGUGACCCCAGGGAGAUUUAGUGUGGCCUUAGGAAAGCAAAAGAGCACUUUUUAUUGGAAAUAUGAGCUUGUCACUGGGAAAGAUUUGUAAAAUUGAUCAAGAACUUGAUUUAUAAUUAUGCCUCAAAAAAAAAAGUUCUCAUUUAGUAGUGGAGCAAUCUAGAAAACAUACCUUUUUUGUUUGUUUGGAAGAUCCUCUUUCCCUGGCUGUAUUGUAGUGUUUGCUAUUUGAUGUGGAAAUAACUAAUAACUUAAGAUUUUGGAACAGAACACCCUUUAGAUUUCCAAAACACAAUUCUUAUUUCAGGGAAGACAGACCAAAAAUAUCUCCUGAGAUCAUUGGUUUCUUUAUAAAUUGUGGUACCACUCCAUCAUUGAAGAGAAACCACUACCACACCACUAGCACCAUACAGAACCUUUUCUCUGUAUCUUUGUACAAUACUACAAAGGGGUACCAGGGAGGAGAGAGUGGCUGACCACUUUAGUGACAAAACAGCACUCCACUGCUGGUGAAUCCCAUCUAAUUAUGGUCCUUCCACCCUUUUCAACCACCAACAACUGUUCGUACUGUUAAUUCCUAUCCUGAAGGUUUAACCAGUGGUUGUCUAGUAUCUUCUGUCUUUAGAACAGUGGUUCUCAAACUUUAGUACACAUCAGCAUCACCUGGAGGGCCUUUUUUUAAAAUAAGACACAGAUUGCUGGGCUCAUGGUCAGAGUUCCCAGUUAAGUAAAUCAGGAAAUUUGUAUUUCUAACAAGUUUAUAGGUGAGGCCAAUACUGCUGUUUUGGGAACUAUGCUUUGAGAACCACUGCCUUGAAAAAAUUUCCAACUUCUACCUUUAAGAUCAGCCUGACUUAUCAAACGCUAGAGAAAAACUGAAUCUACCCUUGGGCAGAUGACUUGGGAUUGGAUUCUAUACAGCAGUCUUGCUCAAUCUUCCCAGUUUCCAGUUUUAUUAUACCAACAAUUGGUUUUUACAAGCUAGAAGACAAUGAAUGUAUAAGUUCUAUGGAACAGUGAGAUAAAUCUAAGCUUCUUGUCUUUGUAUUUAGAAACAUUGAUUCUAUGGAUGAUCAUUUGUAUCAUGUUGACCCUUUGACUUGUACUGAAGGUGAUUUUAAAUUUAAGUAUGUAGUGUUUGAAUUUCUUCCAUCCAUGUCGUUUUAAUGAGAUGUUUCCAUGUCAGCUCCUUUACAGCCUUGGCUCCUGGCUUACAGAUUUUUGAAUAGUUGUUUGCUUGCCAGUUGUUUUACAUCUUUCAUUGGCCACCAAAAUAUUAGCCAUUUGAGAUGAGAUGAGACUACUUGUUGUACCUUCAUCUUUCAUUUAAUUUUCUGGCGUAAAUUAACAUUUUAAUUUCAUAUAUAUCUGUAAAGAGUCUACCCAAAGGCUUCACGGAAAUUUGCAAAAUGAACUAAUUCCCUUUUAAGCAGCAGGUGUGCCUGUUUUUGACUUUUCAGUAAAUAUGUUGUUUGUGCACAUAUCUACAUGGUGGAGACCAUAUUCAUUAUUUCAUCUUCCAAAUAAUGGGAAAAAUAUAAAAGUGAAUCAGUGUGCUUUGGGAAUUCAGUGAAAUCAUGUUAACUCAUAUAGAGGGGGCCUUAGUUUAUCUCUUCUUUACUGAAUUAAUUAGUUUUGGAAAUUCUUUUACCAUUAAAAAAAAUUAAGGACCAUACAGAGAAUGAUUUAAGAAAAAACAAGUCACUUAAAAAUCAUCACCUAUUUAUAAACUGUAUUAAUUACACAUAAUGCUUAUUGAUUCAAUGAGGUUUCUCUAAAGACUUCUGCUUAAUAAAUAUGCUGACUUCAUUUAAAUUAGUUUAGACUAUUGUAGGAAUGGAAGGAAAUGAUUAUAUUUACUAGAAUUAGUGAGAUCAGAAAGCAUAUCAGAAUGUUGAUGAUAUCAAGGAGACAAUCUACAGAGUUUUUGCCUCUGUGGAUGGAAAUAAGGGUGUUUUUUUUUGGUUUUUUUUUUACUUUAGUUUCCCAUAAUUUUUGGAAAUUAUGUGUGCAUUUAGUUCUUUUAGUAACACUGAUUUUAAAAUUAAAUUUCAAAAGUCAAUCUCUAAGAGUAAUUUAUUUUUGUUUUACCAACCAGUGCCAAAAAGGAGAGGAGGGAAUCCAAAAGCCAAUCUUUUGAACCAAUGUGUAAAAGAUUAUGUUUUUUCUUAAAGUUAGGGAGGCUCGGGCCCUGACACUGCCAGCCCCAGUGAGCAUCCCUGGCUACCUCGGGAUUAUGUGCAAGCUGCUUUGUCCUACAUUUCUUUCAUCUGGUUCUUAUUGGGAGUGCUUCUCUCUAAUAAAAAUUGAUUUCCCACAAAAUAGGCAAAGCUGAACAAAGAUGAAUGCUUUUGAUAAGUUGGGUUUCACUUCAGUUGAAACAAUGUGAUAGAAUAUCCAGGUGUGGCAUGAUGGGGCAGGAGGAGGUGCCUAGAGGGAAAAGUUAUUUUUGUUUCUUAGUGUUGUGUUGUGGGGAUGGGACAGAUAAGAAUAAGAUGUUUAUUGCCCUAAUCAUGCUAAGAGACUAUUAUUCAAUAUGCUUUUCCCGCUUUUCUAAGAGGAAUAAACUUAGACAAAUUACAUUAUAAACAGUUCCCCUACUACUAUCUCCCACUCUAGAUAAAGCCAGUGGGUGGUAUGGGUCCUUUUAUUCCUUAUAGUAUUAUGCCAAAGAAUCAACUUAUUUUCAUUGAAGAUUAUAAAUAAAUGAAGCUUGUUAUAGCCAUAAUGAUUUGAGUCAGUAUACCAUUUUACCUAUAAAAUGCAAAAUUCAUCCUUGCAACCCCAUUCACCAGGAGCCUUGAAGCAUUUUGUUUACUCCAAAGGCCUUGUCAAGGAAGCAUAAUUUUUUGUUUUGCCUUCUUAUUUAGUCAGUUUGGUCAUAUUUACUUAAAAAAACAAACUGAAAAUCACACUCCUUUAUAUGUUGAUAUAACUGAUUUUAUAGAAUCUGUCUGUUCUUUGUUUAACAGGUCUCUGUAAGCAAGCUUGCAAGUGUAUUUUGUGUACAUUUUAUCUGAGGUGGAAAUGAAAAUUCUAAAGAGAAAAUAUUUUAAAAGAUAUUGUAUUUAUGUUGCUUGUGUUGUAGAAUAAAGAUUCAAAUGCAUU
rnacentral:lncRNA from 1 species